AUGGCGUCCUUGACAAAUCUCAUACUACUACCACUUCUCUUGCUCGCCACCUUCUCUCCUACACCAUCACUGUGCUAUGUCAGUCCAUCUGCUGCAAGGGUACAUGAGGGUGUUACACAGACAUCUGCCUACCACACUUACAUUGUGCUCGUCAAGCCACCUCCCUCGGGUACCAACGAAGAGGGGCAUCGUCGGUGGUAUGAGACUUUCUUGCCGAGCUCACACAUCGGCGAAUCUGGGGAGCCCCGUCUCCUCCACUCCUACAUCGAGGUGUUCAGCGGCUUUGCGGCGAGGCUCACAGAGGCUGAGCUCGACGCGACCGCCAAGAAGCUGGGGUUCGUGCGUGCGUUCCCAGAUCGGACGCUGCAUCUCAUGACCACGCACACACCAGAGUUCCUCGGGCUCAGGAAUGGCACCGGAUUUUGGAGCGACGUAGGCUACGGGAAGGGGGUGAUCAUCGGGCUGCUCGACACCGGGAUCUAUGCAACACAUCCUUCGUUCGAUGAUCAUGGUGUCCAAUCACCCCCGACAAGGUGGAAGAGCCCGUGCAAGGCAGUCAGGUGCAACAACAAGCUCAUCGGUGCCAACUCAUUUACUGGAGAUAACGAUUCGUACGGUUAUGUGGGGCACGGAACACACACCUCGUCCACUGCCGCCGGCAACUUCGUCACCGAUGCGUCAGACCAUGGCGUGGGCACGGGCACUGCUUCCGGAAUUGCUCCAGGUGCCCACAUCGCCAUGUACAAGGUGUGCACCGCCGAGGGAUGCGAAGAAUCCGCCGUAGUGGCCGGCCUCGAUGCGGCCAUCAAGGAUGGGGUGGACGUACUCUCGCUAUCUCUCAGUAGCCUCACCGGUGUCAGCUUCAAUAAGGACCCCAUAGCCAUCGGCGCGUUCAGUGCUAUAUCCAACGGCAUCAUUGUGGUGUGCUCGGCUGGCAACAAAGGUCCCACUCCACGGUCAGUCUCCAACACUGCACCGUGGUUGCUCACAGUUGCCGCUGGCUCGGUGGACCGGAGAUUCGAUGCUGGCGUGCAUCUCGGCAACGGCAAGCGCAUGGACGGAGAAGCAUUUACCCCAGUGAUAAAGCCAACCUCAAAGCCAUACCCUCUCCUCUACUCCGAGGAACAUCGUUUCUGCCAGAAUGCGUCUUACGGUUCAGUUGCCGGGAAAAUAAUUGUUUGUCAGGCCACAACACCCAUGGCUCGCUAUUCUGACAUUUCGAGGCUAAUGGGUCAUGGUGCGGCUGGCGUGGUUCUUUUCAAUGACAAAGCCACCGGCUACACCAUUAUUCUUCAGGAUUUUGACGAGGCGAGAGUGGUGCAGGUGACCUCCGCCGACGGCAUCGCCCUCGCAGCUUACACGAAGUCAUCAUCGAACGACGCCGUUGCCACUUUCACAUAUAACAACACAGUGUUGGGUGUUCGUCCGAACCCGGUCGUGGCGUCGUUCUCUUCCCGGGGUCCAAGCUCCGUCGCUCCUGGUGUGCUCAAGCCAGACAUUCUUGCGCCCGGGCUCAACAUCCUUGCGGCGUGGCCAAGUCCCCCUUUCAAAAUCAUAUCGGGGACGUCCAUGGCAACGCCACAUGUCAGUGGUGUCGCGGCGCUUAUCAAAAGCUUGCAUCCCGACUGGUCACCGGCUGCCAUCAAGUCGGCCAUCCUGACGACGUCGAACACCAUGAACAACAUCGGCGGCUCGAUCUUGAACGAGAGGCAUGAUAAAGCCAGUGCGUACGAUAGAGGCGCCGGCCAUGUGAACCCGGCGAGGGCUGCUGACCCCGGUUUGGUGUACGACCUCAGUGUAACAGACUAUGCAGGCUACAUCUGCUGGCUCCUUGGCGAGGAAGGCUUGGUGACCAUCGUAUGCAACUCAAGCUUGACCUGCGCGAAGCUGCCCAAGGUCAAGGAUGUUCAGCUCAACUACCCUACUCUAACUGUGCCGCUGGCAUCAACGCUGUUCACCAUGACCCGGACGGUGACGAACGUUGGGCCGGCAGAUUCUACGUACGCUGCUAAGGUAAACUCGCCAAGCUCUAUGACAGUGCAUGUCUCCCCAGAGACACUGGUGUUCUCCAAGGCUGGAGAAAAGAAGACGUUCAGCGUGACAGUGAUCUGCCAAGGCGUGGGUGCAUCAGAAACCUUUGUGGAGGGAAGCUUGAGCUGGGUGUCGAAGAAGCAUGUUGUGCGUAGUCCCAUUGUCGCCAUCCGUGGAGCAGGAGGUCCUGCUCCCACUCCAUCACCAUGA
rnacentral:rRNA from 1 species